rnacentral:rRNA from 1 species
AAUUUUCGUCAAUGGGCGCAAGCCUGAACGAGCAAUGCCGCGUGAACGAGGAAGGUCUUCGGAUCGUAAAGUUCUGUUGAAGGGGAAAAAGAGCGGAGAGAGGAAAUGGUCUCCGAUUGAUAUUACCCUUCGAGGAAGUCACGGCUAACUACGUGCC